rnacentral:rRNA from 1 species
AGAGUUUGAUCCUGGCUCAGGACGAACGCUGGCGGCGUGCUUAACACAUGCAAGUCGAACGCUGAAGGCCUGGCUUUUGUUGGGUUGGAUGAGUGGCGAACGGGUGAGUAACACGUGAGUAACCUGCCCUCUUCUUUGGGAUAACGCCCGGAAACGGGUGCUAAUACUGGAUAUUCACUGAUCUUCGCAUGGGGGUUGGUGGAAAGGUUUUUUCUGGUGGGGGAUGGGCUCGCGGCCUAUCAGCUUGUUGGUGGGGUGAUGGCCUACCAAGGCUUUGACGGGUAGCCGGCCUGAGAGGGUGACCGGUCACAUUGGGACUGAGAUACGGCCCAGACUCCUACGGGAGGCAGCAGUGGGGAAUAUUGCACAAUGGGCGAAAGCCUGAUGCAGCGACGCCGCGUGAGGGAUGGAGGCCUUCGGGUUGUAAACCUCUUUCGCUCAUGGUCAAGCCGCAACUGUGGGUUGUGGUGAGGGUAGUGGGUAAAGAAGCGCCGGCUAACUACGUGCCAGCAGCCGCGGUAAUACGUAGGGCGCGAGCGUUGUCCGGAAUUAUUGGGCGUAAAGGGCUUGUAGGCGGUUGGUCGCGUCUGCCGUGAAAUCCUCUGGCUUAACUGGGGGCGUGCGGUGGGUACGGGCUGACUUGAGUGCGGUAGGGGAGACUGGAACUCCUGGUGUAGCGGUGGAAUGCGCAGAUAUCAGGAAGAACACCGGUGGCGAAGGCGGGUCUCUGGGCCGUUACUGACGCUGAGGAGCGAAAGCGUGGGGAGCGAACAGGAUUAGAUACCCUGGUAGUCCACGCUGUAAACGUUGGGCACUAGGUGUGGGGGCCACCCGUGGUUUCUGCGCCGUAGCUAACGCUUUAAGUGCCCCGCCUGGGGAGUACGGCCGCAAGGCUAAAACUCAAAGGAAUUGAC